rnacentral:rRNA from 1 species
GAUUCGGGCUUAAACUCCCAACCCAAUGUGAACGUUACCAAACUGUUGCCUCGGCGGGAUCUCUGCCCCGGGUGCGUCGCAGCCCCGGACCAAGGCGCCCGCCGGAGGACCAACCAAAACUCUUUUUGUAUACCCCCUCGCGGGUUUUUUUAUAAUCUGAGCCUUCUCGGCGCCUCUCGUAGGCGUUUCGAAAAUGAAUCAAAACUUUCAACAACGGAUCUCUUGGUUCUGGCAUCGAUGAAGAACGCAGCGAAAUGCGAUAAGUAAUGUGAAUUGCAGAAUUCAGUGAAUCAUCGAAUCUUUGAACGCACAUUGCGCCCGCCAGUAUUCUGGCGGGCAUGCCUGUCCGAGCGUCAUUUCAACCCUCGAACCCCUCCGGGGGGUCGGCGUUGGGGAUCGGCCCUGCCUCUUGGCGGUGGCCGUCUCCGAAAUACAGUGGCGGUCUCGCCGCAGCCUCUCCUGCGCAGUAGUUUGCACACUCGCAUCGGGAGCGCGGCGCGUCCACAGCCGUUAAACACCCAACUUCUGAAAUGUUGACCUCGGAUCAGGUAGGAAUACCCGCUGAACUUAAGCAUAUCAAUAAGCGGAGGAA